GACGAACGCUGGCGGCGUGCUUAACACAUGCAAGUCGAACGGAAACGCCCUGCUUUUGUGGGGUGCUCGAGUGGCGAACGGGUGAGUAACACGUGAGUAACCUGCCCUUGACUUUGGGAUAACUUCAGGAAACUGGGUCUAAUACCGGAUAGGAGCUCCUGCUGCAUGGUGGGGGUUGGAAAGUUUCGGCGGUUGGGGAUGGACUCGCGGCUUAUCAGCUUGUUGGUGGGGUAGUGGCUUACCAAGGCUUUGACGGGUAGCCGGCCUGAGAGGGUGACCGGCCACAUUGGGACUGAGAUACGGCCCAGACUCCUACGGGAGGCAGAAGUGGGGAAUAUUGCACAAUGGGCGGAAGACUGAUGCAGCAACGCCGCGUGCGGGAUGACGGCAUUCGGGUUGUAAACCGCUUUCGCCUGUGACGAAGCGUGAGUGACGGUAAUGGGUAAAGAAGCACCGGCUAACUACGUG
rnacentral:rRNA from 1 species